UACGGGGGGGGGCAAGCGUUGUUCGGAAUUACUGGGCGUAAAGGGCUCGUAGGCGGCCAACUAAGUCAGACGUGAAAUCCCUCGGCUUAACCGGGGAACUGCGUCUGAUACUGGAUGGCUUGAGUUUGGGGAGAGGGAUGCGGAAUUCCAGGUGUAGCGGUGAAAUGCGUAGAUAUCUGGAGGAACACCGGUGGCGAAGGCGGCAUCCUGGACCAACACUGACGCUGAGUGAGCGAAAGCCAGGGGAGCAAAACGGGAUU
rnacentral:rRNA from 1 species